rnacentral:rRNA from 1 species
GUGUUGGAUCGUACCCGUACCACCAAAUUCUGUCAGAACUUGUAGCUAAGCGUGCUUGGACGAGAGUAGGACAAAGUUAGGUGACCACUUGAGAAUUCCUCGUGUUGCUUACA